AUUUCCUCCAAAAUUCUGUCUGCGCAAUCCGCCCGAAAAUCUCCAAUUCUCCUCCCUCCGCCACUGUCUACUCCACCUCCUUCCUCUGACAGUACCUUCUCCAUCCGUCGCCGUCUACUCCUUCUUCCUCCGUCACCGUCUACUCCUUAGCUUUCCUCCGACAGCACCUCCUUCUCCCUCCGCCGCCGUCUACUCCUCCACUUUCCUGUUGGUUGUCAGGUUGGUGCUGGGGCAUCCAAGAAGAGUCGACCAACUACAGGAGAGGCUAUCGUUGGUUUCUGAGGACCACCUCAAAAUAUUAGUUCCUGGAUCUCACUUUUGCGUGUGUUGUCAGACAAGGAUGCAAUAGCAAAGUGUUUGAGCUCUUCAAUGGAGGGGGAGUAGUUGUUCUUGCUUGUGUUAAAGUCAAGUCUGAAUUAAUUGUUGAAGGGAGGCGAGCAACUGGUGGGUCUCCUCUUAUAAAAAAAAAAAUGAUUAAUCAGGUUGCGUAACAUCGAGCCUGGGGUGAUAGGUCUCCUCUUAUAGCCACGGUGAAGAGAUGUCAUUCGCAACUUAUUUACGAUGGAUUCUGUUGUUCUUUGAUGUAUAUAUAAAACUGUGUGAUUGUAAGCAUCAUGCAUGUAUUAUUGAAACAUGCAUGUCCACCUGAAGAAAGCUGCCUAUUCAUCCAACUUCAGGCUGAGGUUUAUGGCAAAGGCUACUGUUUGUCUUGUACACAAGGCAUUUUCAACGUUUGAGUUAUUCUUAUUUAAUAAAAAAUGAUGCAUCUCUUCUGGAGAUGAUAGCUUGUCGUUCA